GCCCCCUGGACAAGAAUCUAGGGUGAAGCCUGCUCAGUGAUUAAACAAAAAUUAAAUAGCCGCGGUACCUUGACCGUGCUAAGGUAGCAUAAUCAAUUGACUUUUAAUUGAAGUCUGGAAUGAAAGGAUCAACGGGAUGAAGCUGUCUCAACUCUAAUAUUAUAAAUUUACUAAUUAGGUGCAAAGGCCUAAAUAAGAUAAAAGACGAGAAGACCCUUAGAGUUUCACUUAUUUAGUUUUGUUGGGGCGACAAAGAAUCAAUUAAACAUUCUUAUAUAGUAUAUGGCGAUUUAUUAUAAGUAUAGAUUAACUACCUGAGGGAUAACAGCAUUAUCUUUUUAGGAUUAUGACCUCGAUGUUGGACUAGGAAGCCUACUAGCUAGCCGCUAUUAAGGGGAAUUCUGUUCGAAUUUUCACUCCU
rnacentral:rRNA from 1 species